rnacentral:rRNA from 1 species
UACAGAGGUCCCAAGCGUUGUUCGGAUUUACUGGGCGUAAAGGGUGCGUAGGUGGUUGUGAAAGUUUGAUGUGAAAGCUCGGAGCUUAACUCCGAAAUGGCAUUGAAUACUUCUUAACUUGAGGGUCGGAGGGGAGACUGGAAUUCUCGGUGUAGCAGUGAAAUGCGUAGAUAUCGAGAGGAACACCGGUGGCGAAGGCGAGUCUCUGGACGACUCCUGACACUGAGGCACGAAAGCUAGGGGAGCAAACAGG